rnacentral:rRNA from 1 species
AAAAAUGCAGUCGAGCGGUAACAGGGGAUACAGCUUGCUGCAUUCGCUGACGAGCGGCGGACGGGUGAGUAAUGUCUGGGAAACUGCCUGAUGGAGGGGGAUAACCACUGGAAACGGUGGCUAAUACCGCAUAACGUCGCAAGACCAAAGUGGGGGACCUUCGGGCCUCAUGCCAUCAGAUGUGCCCAGAUGGGAUUAGCUUGUAGGUGGGGUAACGGCUCACCUAGGCGACGAUCCCUAGCUGGUCUGAGAGGAUGACCAGCCACACUGGAACUGAGACACGGUCCAGACUCCUACGGGAGGCAGCAGUGGGGAAUAUUGCACAAUGGGCGCAAGCCUGAUGCAGCCAUGCCGCGUGUAUGAAGAAGGCCUUCGGGUUGUAAAGUACUUUCAGUGAGGAGGAAGGCGUGAUGUUUAAUACGCAUCGCGAUUGACGUUACUCACAGAAGAAGCACCGGCUAACUCCGUGCCAGCAGCCGCGGUAAUACGGAGGGUGCAAGCGUUAAUCGGAAUUACUGGGCGUAAAGCGCACGCAGGCGGUCUGUUAAGUCAGAUGUGAAAUCCCCGGGCUCAACCCGGGAACUGCAUUUGAAACUGGCAGGCUUGAGUCUCGUAGAGGGGGGGUAGAAUUCCAGGUGUAGCGGUGAAAUGCGUAGAGAUCUGGAGGAAUACCGGUGGCGAAGGCGGCCCUCUGGACGAAGACUGACGCUCAGGUGCGAAAGCGUGGGGAGCAAACGAGGAUUAGAUACCCUGGUAGUCCACGCCGUAAAACGAUGUCG